CAGAAUUUCAGCUUCUAGAUUGGUGGGUUAUGGCGGUUCCGACGAUAGCACUGUACGCAAGUCCGCCGAGUAGUGUGUGUUCUACGCCGUAUCAAUGCCACUCUCACGCGUCUUAUGAUUUCGAUUUGAACGGCAGAUUAUCGUCGUCUUCCUCGUCGACAUCCUCUUCUUCCCAGAAAUCCAUUGUCGGUGGCCUGUCGUCUCUGUUCUCUUCGCCAGCUGUGAAGGCCAGCUAUUCAACUGGAACCGAGGAUUUGGGGUCUUUGUGGCAUGAUAGAGGCGACGAAUUGAGCAGCUCUUUUCGUUGUUCAUCCCUCAGCUCGUCAUUGAAAAGGGAUCAUCAGAGUCCAGUUUCUGUGUUUCAAGGGCCUGUUUCAUGUAGCACUAGUAGUAGUGGAAUAGGAUCAUAUUCCAGAAGUCCUCCAAAGAGAAUUGCUGGUGAUGUCUGUUCCAUUCGUUCUGGGACUGGUGGAUUGUUCAAUGGUUUUGUUAGGCACGCCUUGGGAUCCUGUGUUGAUCACGAUCCGGCGGCUUUCCAGGUCCUGGAUGAUGAUUCUCGUUCAUCAGGGCUAUUGGAUGAACUCACCUUUAACAUGGAAGAAGGUUUCUUGGAGUCCAUGACAGAACCUUAUGCUAAAAAUUUGCUGUUGGGUGCACAGGCAAGGCAUAAAAUCUUUUAUGAUGAUUUUGUGGUGAAGGCAUUUUAUGAAGCUGAGAAAGCCCAUAGAGGACAGGUGCGAGCUUCUGGUGAUCCUUAUCUACAGCAUUGCGUUGAGACUGCAGUUUUACUCGCAACCAUUGGUGCUAACUCGACUGUUGUUGCUGCUGGACUUUUGCACGACACACUUGAUGACACAUUCAUGACUUAUGACUAUAUAUUCCGGACGCUAGGAGCUGGUGUUGCUGAUCUGGUUGAGGGGGUGUCGAAGCUUAGUCAAUUGAGCAAGCUUGCACGAGACUUUGAUACAGCUAGUAAAACUGUUGAGGCGGAUCGAUUACACACCAUGUUCCUUGCUAUGACAGAUGCCAGGGCGGUUCUCAUAAAACUAGCUGAUCGUUUGCAUAAUAUGGUUACUUUGGAUGCAUUACCAUCUACAAAGCAGCAAAGAUUUGCUAAAGAAACUUUGGAAAUUUUCGCCCCUCUUGCUAAUCGCCUAGGCAUCUCAACCUGGAAAGAGCAGCUGGAGAACCAAUGCUUUAAACAUCUUAGCCCUGAUCAGCACAAUGAACUGUCAUCCAAACUAAUGGAUUCUUUUGACGAGGCAAUGAUUACCUCUGCUGUGGAGAAAUUGGAGCAGGCGUUAAGUGAUGGAUCUGUCUCUUAUCAUGUGCUUUCAGGGCGUCACAAGAGCUUGUACAGCAUUUACUGCAAGAUGCUAAAGAAGAAGCUUAGUAUGGAUGAAGUCCAUGACAUUCAUGGGUUGAGGUUGAUUGUUGAAAAUGAGGAGGAUUGCUAUAAAGCACUUCAAGUUGUUCACGAGCUAUGGCGUGAGGUACCCGGGAGAUACAAGGACUACAUAGAGAAACCGAAAUGCAAUGGGUACCAAUCUCUUCACACGGUUGUUCUUGGGGAAGGCAUGGUGCCUCUUGAAGUGCAGAUCCGAACAAAAGAGAUGCACUUGCAAGCUGAAUAUGGCUUUGCUGCUCAUUGGAGAUACAAAGAAAAUGAUUGCAAGCACUCCUCUUUUGUACUUCAGAUGGUAGAGUGGGCUCGUUGGGUUGUAACCUGGCAGUGCGAGACAAUGAGCCGAGACCAGUCAUCUGUUGGCCACACUGAAUCGAUUAAGCCACCUUGCAAAUUUCCAGCUCAUUCCGAGGAUUGUCCUUUUUCUUGCAAACCUGAUUGUGGAACUGAUGGGCCUGUCUUUAUCAUUAUGAUUGAGAAUGAUAAGAUGUCUGUUCAAGAAUUCGCAGCAAACUCGACCGUGAAGGAUCUGUUGGAGAGAGCUGGCCGUGGGAGCUCAAGAUGGACACCCUAUGGAUUUCCUAUGAAGGAAGAGCUAAGGCCAAGGUUGAACCACGAACCAGUUAGUGAUCCCAACUGCAAGCUAAGAAUGGGAGAUGUUAUAGAAUUAACUCCAGCGAUACCACAUAAAUCGUUGACAGAGUACAGGGAGGAGAUUCAACGAAUGUAUGAUAGAGGUGUAAGCCCUCUUCCUGCCGCUGCCAAUACUGUAGUUGGUCUGAGGAGUUGACAGUUGAUGUUUCUCCUCCUCCUAGAUUAAGGUCCUCCUCUAAUCUUGUACAUAAUUACAAAUGAUAAGCAUUUGUACAGAACAGCCGUGGUUCUGUAUAUAAAAAAAU
rnacentral:misc_RNA from 1 species